rnacentral:rRNA from 1 species
UACGGAGGGUGCAAGCGUUAAUCGGAAUUACUGGGCGUAAAGCGUGCGCAGGCGGUUUGAUAAGUCUGUUGUGAAAUCCCCGAGCUCAACUUGGGAAUUGCAAUGGAUACUGGCAGGCUGGAGUAUGGUAGAGGAAGGUGGAAUUCCCGGUGUAGCAGUGAAAUGCGUAGAGAUCGGGAGGAACAUCAGUGGCGAAGGCGGCCAUCUGGGACAACACUGACGCUGAAGCACGAAAGCGUGGGGAGCAAACAGG